AAUUAAUCAUGAACUUUGCACCCCAUAUAAUAGAAAUUCCAAAAUUUCACCCCACCCCAAAACAUAAUAAAUUAAUAGAACCAGCUUGCAUACAGAAUCAUACAGUAAAUAUAAAUAUUUGUGAAUAACCCCUUCCCCUAAAAAUAUGCCCCCUUUUUUGGUGGCUGCUGAUGUCAAAUAUAUUGUUUUCAUUCCUUUUUUUUCUAUUCUUUUUAACAAUCUAAAGAGAAAGACGAAUAUAUCAGUUCAUAAACAAUGGUUGAUAACUUGUAAUAUAAACAACUGAUAUAUCUAUUGGAAUAGUGAUUUUUAAAUUUUCGCGGCAUUUUUAACAUUUGUAUUUUAAGACAAAUUCAGAUAUGCGCAUGCGCAGUUGUAUUUGUUGCCAAAGUUUGAAUAUCCACUUUCGAGACCACAAUGUGAUUCUACAGAGUUUUUAUCAAUAUCUUUCCUGUAUACAGCUUUUAUAUUUUAUCAUGUCAUCAUGAAGACCUAUGGAAUCACGGAACAACAAGUGUCUGACCAAACAACAACCUUUCUAAAAUGGGCUCCAAAAAGACAGGGUGGGAGAAGAAAGAAGUUGAAGUUUUCACUAUUAAUAAAUAAAUUUAUUUUAAUUUUA